rnacentral:lncRNA from 1 species
UGAAUUCGAAUUCUAUCUACCCAAUAAAACCAGUCCAUACAAUCCAAACCCACACAUUGUUCAUCUCCCUAACCCUAAACCGUGACAUGCCAUCAUCAACCCUAAUCACGGCCCUACCCUAGCUCAAAGACCUUCACCUUCGCCGCCGCCACCAUCACAUUUUUCCAGCCGUGAACCACCACUACAAUCAUCUGCGCCUCACCUUUCAGACACCUAACAAUUGCCGAGACACCCGCACCAGCUUCCGAAAACUGAAAGACCAUACUCUACCUUCAAUAUCACCAAAUCUAUGGAACCGCUUCGUCUACUUUCCAUAUUCACCAACACCACCACAUCGCGAACUUAGCACCCUACCUUCACCUGCAGCCACCGCACCAGCGAUUGCCGUCACUACCAUUUCCACCACUUUACCACCCAAUAACAGAACAGCCGUCGCUGCAGUGAUACCCACUACCCAAACCACAAAAUUCAUCCACCUGAUACAUAAAAACCAACUCAGCUAAUUCCAUACCCAAUGCCAAUUCAACCCACCUGCCAGUCAUGUGCUGUGUAAAAUCACAACCCACCACGAUCCUACAGAACAACCCACGAUGUCACUUUGCAGCACUCACCUUCGGCCACCCUUCAAGGCCCAGCGAUCCAUACAUCGUCUCCACUUUCAUUACCGCACACACCAACCUUUACAAAUACAAUCCGACCGCAUCUGUAACAGUGCUGCUGAAAACACAUCUGAUCGAUAAUCACUGUCGGCAGCACCAUAUCGCUGGCAAUCUAGCUGUUUCAUAAAGUCUAUUGGUAAAUCAGUUCUGCCUUUGGUUUUCUGCAUCUGGUCGAGAGUUAUUAGAUUCCUGAUUAUAUAUUAAAAAAAAAGAAAUCCUACUGUUUCGCGCGGGUUAGUCGCUAACAAUUAAAAAGGAUCAGACGAUUGUGUAAGGGACAAACCUCGUAAGACAAAGUCCCAAAAAGGAGUGUUCUUUUAUUGGCGAUGACUUUACAAUUGGAAACUAAAAACAACGUGCCUCCAAAGGGUACAAGCACACG